rnacentral:rRNA from 1 species
GACGAACGCUGGCGGCGUGCUUAACACAUGCAAGUCGAACGGAAAGGCCCUGCUUUUGUGGGGUGCUCGAGUGGCGAACGGGUGAGUAACACGUGAGUAACCUGCCCUUGACUUUGGGAUAACUUCAGGAAACUGGGGCUAAUACCGGAUAGGAGCUCCUGCUGCAUGGUGGGGGUUGGAAAGUUUCGGCGGUGGGGAUGGACUCGCGGCUUAUCAGCUUGUUGGUGGGGUAGUGGCUUACCAAGGCUUUGACGGGUAGCCGGCCUGAGAGGGUGACCGGCCACAUUGGGACUGAGAGACGGCCCAGACUCCUACGGGAGGCAGCAGUGGGGAAUAUUGCAAUGGGCGGAAGCCUGAUGCAGCAACGCCGCGUGCGGGAUGACGGCCUUCGGGUUGUAAACCGCUUUCGCCUGUGACGAAGCGUGAGUGACGGUAAUGGGUAAAGAAGCACCGGCUAACUACGUG